GCGGACCAGUAGUGUAGUUAGUCUGCCGUUAGCUUAAACUAACAAGCCGAACCUGCCAUAAAAUCACAUUUUACUCAUGUUCAUGAGUGUUGCCCAACAUGAAGAAAAGAAGAGGAGACACAGAAGUCUGAGUGAUGGCAAGUGAUGGUGACACAAAGUGCUGCCUGGAAGACUCUUCACAACUCUGCCUGCAAGAUCUCGGCCAAUGGGAAGCAAAGAGGAAAGGGAUGUUCAACUGCAGGCCUGAUGGCCAGUGUCCUGCAACCUCUGGACACGUCUCUGCUUCAACACACCUGAGUUUCCUAACGAGGUCUUUAGCAGGAGUCUGGAUAACUUGACUGCAUACUGAAGAGGCAAUCCAGCCAUUUCAUUCAGGUCUGCUGGACCAGGGAUAAAUCUAAAAGCUGCAGGAAACCAGAGGUGAACAUCCCUGAUCUAGGAGAAAGAAAGAAAGACUUAUUGAAACUUUGUUUUGAUGGAAUCUAACAGUAUUUCAUUUAAAAUCUCCUUGAUUCCAAUCCUUGGACAUUCAGACCAGCGUGAAGAAGUAAAAUAUAGAUUCUAAAAUUUAUUCAGUUAUAUUCAUUUUGGAGGAAUUGGUAAGGGUGCCUGUAAGGUGAUAGUGAGUAUUUCUUGGUAUGAUUUUUCUUUUAAACUUAUUAAAUUUAUGCAAUAUAAAAGUUAAUUUUGCUUAACUUUUGGACAAUAUUCUAGUAAAAUAAAAAAAAUUAUAAUUUAUUAUUCCUGCACACAUCUGUUUAUAAGAGUGAAAUGUUCACACAUUGAAUUGAAUUAUUUAAUAAUUAUGGUAAUCAAUUUGAUCAGUCUGAAAAACUAAACGGAAAGAAUUUUUUUUUUUUUCAUAACAGGGCCACUAACCUGCUUCGGUGCAAAAGUUUAAAAAGUAAAAAGUGUACAUUUGUUUUUAAAAGC